rnacentral:rRNA from 1 species
AGAGUUUGAUCCUGGCUCAGAUUGAACGCUGGCGGCAUGCCUAACACAUGCAAGUCGAACGGUAACAGGUCUUCGGAUGCUGACGAGUGGCGGACGGGUGAGUAACGCGUAGGAAUCUGUCUUUGAGUGGGGGACAACCCAGGGAAACUUGGGCUAAUACCGCAUAAGCCCUGAGGGGGAAAGCGGGGGAUCUUCGGACCUCGCGCUGAAAGAGGAGCCUACGUCUGAUUAGCUAGUUGGUAGGGUAAAGGCCUACCAAGGCGACGAUCGGUAGCUGGUCUGAGAGGACGACCAGCCACACUGGGACUGAGACACGGCCCAGACUCCUACGGGAGGCAGCAGUGGGGAAUUUUUCGCAAUGGGGGCAACCCUGACGAAGCAAUGCCGCGUGAAUGAAGAAGGCCUUCGGGUUGUAAAGUUCUUUCGUGGAGGACGAAAAGGUGGGUGCUAAUAUCGCCUGCUGUUGACGUGAAUCCAAGAAGAAGCACCGGCUAACUCCGUGCCAGCAGCCGCGGUAAUACGGGGGGUGCAAGCGUUAAUCGGAAUCACUGGGCGUAAAGGGUGCGUAGGCGGUGCAUUAGGUCUGUCGUGAAAUCCCCGGGCUCAACCUGGGAAUGGCGGUGGAAACCGGUGUACUAGAGUAUGGGAGAGGGUGGUGGAAUUCCAGGUGUAGCGGUGAAAUGCGUAGAGAUCUGGAGGAACAUCAGUGGCGAAGGCGGCCGCCUGGCCCAAUACUGACGCUGAGGCACGAAAGCGUGGGGAUCAAACAGGAUUAGAUACCCUGGUAGUCC